UUCACUGCUAAGUGGAAAACGAUGUGGAAAGGCACAGACAGCCAGGAGGUUGGCUUAGAAGCAGCCACCCUUUAAAGAAAGCGUAAUAGCUCACUGGUCGAGUCGGUCUGCGCGGAAGAUUUAACGGGGCUAAGCAGUGAACCGAAGCUUGGGGUGCAUAAAACUUGUUUUAUGCGCGGUAGAGGAGCGUUCCGUAAGCCUGCGAAGGUGGAUUGAGAAGUCCGCUGGAGGUAUCGGAAGUGCGAAUGCUGACAUGAGUAACGAUAAUGCGGGUGAAAAGCCCGCACGCCGAAAGCCCAAGGUUUCCUUGCGCAACGUUAAUCGACGCAGGGUUAGUCGGUCCCUAAGGCGAGGGCGAAAGCCGUAGUCGAUGGGAAGCAGGUUAAUAUUCCUGCACCUCGCGUGAGUGCGAUGGAGGGACGGAGAAGGUUAGGUGUACCGGGCGUUGGUUGUCCCGGGGAAAGGCGGUAGGUUUGGAUCUUUGGCAAAUCCGGGAUCCUUUAAGACCGAGCACCGAGACGAGCCUUUAUGGCGAAGUCACUGAUACCACGCUUCCAGGAAAAGCUCCUAAGCUUCAGCUCACGAAGACCGUACCGUAAACCGACACAGGUGGGUAGGAUGAGAAUUCUCAGGCGCUUGAGAGAACUCGGGUGAAGGAACUAGGCAACAUGGCACCGUAACUUCGGGAGAAGGUGCACCCUUUUUGGUGGCUCAUGCGAGCUAUAGCUGAAGAGGGUCGCAGAAACCAGGCCGCUGCGACUGUUUAUCAAAAACACAGCACUCUGCAAACACGAAAGUGGACGUAUAGGGUGUGACGCCUGCCCGGUGCUGGAAGGUUAAUUGAUGGGGUCAGCCGCAAGGCGAAGCUCUUGAUCGAAGCCCCAGUAAACGGCGGCCGUAACUAUAACGGUCCUAAGGUAGCGAAAUUCCUUGUCGGGUAAGUUCCGACCUGCACGAAUGGCGUAACGACAGCGGCGCUGUCUCCACCCGAGACUCAGUGAAAUUGAAAUCGCUGUGAAGAUGCAGCGUUCCCGUGGCAAGACGGAAAGACCCCGUGAACCUUUACUAUAGCUUUACACUGAACGUUGAGUUCGUCUGUGUAGGAUAGGUGGGAGGCUAUGAAACUGUGGCGCUAGCUGCAGUGGAGCCAUCCUUGAAAUACCACCCUGUCGUGCUUGACGUUCUAACCUAGAUCCGUUAUCCGGAUCAGGGACCGUGUAUGGUGGGUAGUUUGACUGGGGCGGUCUCCUCCUAAAGAGUAACGGAGGAGCACGAAGGUACGCUCAGCGCGGUCGGACAUCGCGCACUGUGUGCAAAGGCAUAAGCGUGCUUGACUGCAAGAUCGACGGAUCAAGCAGGUACGAAAGUAGGUCUUAGUGAUCCGGUGGUUCUGUAUGGAAGGGCCAUCGCUCAACGGAUAAAAGGUACUCCGGGGAUAACAGGCUGAUACCGCCCAAGAGUUCAUAUCGACGGCGGUGUUUGGCACCUCGAUGUCGGCUCAUCACAUCCUGGGGCUGUAGUCGGUCCCAAGGGUAUGGCUGUUCGCCAUUUAAAGUGGUACGCGAGCUGGGUUCAGAACGUCGUGAGACAGUUCGGUCCCUAUCUGCCAUGGGCGUUGGAAGUUUGAGAGGGGCUGCUCCUAGUACGAGAGGACCGGAGUGGACGAACCUCUGGUGUUCCGGUUGUCACGCCAGUGGCAUUGCCGGGUAGCUAUGUUCGGAAGCGAUAACCGCUGAAAGCAUCUAAGCGGGAAGCGCGCCUCAAGAUGAGACUUCCCGGGGCACAAGCCCCCUAAAGGAACCAUAUAGACUAUGUGGUUGAUAGGUCAGGUGUGUAAGUACAGCAAUGUAUUGAGCUAACUGAUACUAAUGAUC
rnacentral:rRNA from 1 species